UACGUAGGGGGCUAGCGUUAUCCGGAAUUACUGGGCGUAAAGGGUGCAUAGGUGGUUUCUUAAGUCAGAGGUGAAAGGCUACGGCUCAACCGUAGUAAGCCUUUGAAACUGGGGAACUUGAGUGCAGGAGAGGAGAGUGGAAUUCCUAGUGUAGCGGUGAAAUGCGUAGAUAUUAGGAGGAACACCAGUUGCGAAGGCGGCUCUCUGGACUGUAACUGACACUGAGGCACGAAAGCGUGGGGAGCAAACAGG
rnacentral:rRNA from 1 species